GCCGGGUGUGCUGGCUCGCGGCGCUGAGUGGGCCGUUUCCAGCGCGUCUGAGGAGAUUGGUUGCUGAGCGCCUCUGAGGGAGCUUUUCCUUUUCUGAGGCCGUCCGAUGUUGGAGGCUGGGGAGCAGCGUUGUGUUCUUGAGGGGAUGGCGGGCUGAAUGCAGAGUUACACUUGCCCCGGCAUGUUCAGUGCGCCUCUCCAGCUUUCCCAGCACCAUUUAUUGAAGUCAAAGGCUUAUCAGAUCCUGACAGCAAUGCAGUUGGAGGCUGUCGGCUAACUGCACUCCUCAUGCAGCAAGGAUGCUCUCUCAUGGAAGGAGAUCAGAACUUCACACGCCAUGGCUGCCACAGAAGGAAAAUUAAAAGAUUAUAGAAGGAGUUCAUUUUCAGUUUUUUUUUUUGUUGCAACCCACAGUAAGAGAUAUGUUUUACAUUGUAGCCUAAUAAAUGUGAAAAUUCGUGUAACUAAAGCAAGAGUUUUUAAAACAUUACUUACACUUACUCUGUGCACUGCGUACUGAUAUUUUCCUCUUGUAUUUCUUGUGGUCUUUUUUAAAGAUUGGAACCUGAGCUAACAUCUGUUGCUAAUCUUCUUUUUUCUUUUUCUUCUCCCCAAAGCCCCUCAGUACGUAGUUGUAUAUUCUAGUUGUAGGUCCUUCUUGCUCUGCUAUGUGGAACGCCACCUCAGCAUGGCUUGAUGAGCAGUGCUGGUCCACACCCAGGAUCUGAACUGCUGAAACCCUGGGCCACUAAAGCGGAGCACACGAACUUAACCACUCGGACAUGGGGCUGGCCCUGUCCUGUUUUUUUAAAAUGCUUGUGUAUAACUGUGAGACAAUGUGAAUAUUUUUAUGUUUCUGCAUGAUUAGGGCUUUUUCUUCUUUUUUUAAAAAAAUUAAGAUGAAAUUCAUGUAACUUAAAAUUAACCAUUUUAAAAUGUACAAUCCAGUGGCAUUUAGUACAUUCACAAUGUUGUGCAGCCACCACUUGCAAAAAAUUUUCAUCACCCCAAAAGGAAACCCCAUACCCAUUAAACAGUCAUUCCCUAUUUUCCCCACAUCGUAGUCCUUGGCAACCACCAAUUUGCUCUCUGUCUCUAUGAAUUUACCUAUUCUGGAUAUUUCAAAUAAAUGCAAUCAUACGAUAUGUG
rnacentral:lncRNA from 1 species